GUGCAGCAGGCGCGAAAACUCCGCAAUGCGCGAAAGCGUGACGGGGGAACCCCAAGUGCCGUUGGUCUUUUGAUCGACGGCUUUUGUGGAGUGUAAGAAGCUCCACGAAUAAGGGCUGGGUAAGUCGGGUGCCAGCCGCCGCGGUAAUACCCGCAGCCCAAGUGGUGGUCGCGAUUAUUGGGCCUAAAGCGCUCGUAGCCGGGUUGGCAAGUCCCUUGUGAAAUCGGGCGGCCCAACCGUUCGGCUGGCAAGGGAUACUGCCAGCCUUGAGGCCGGGAGACGUCAGGGGUACUCCGGGGGUAGCGGUGAAAUGCUCUGAUCCUCGGGGGACCACCAGUGGCGAAGGCGCCUGACGAGAACGGACCUGACGGUGAGGGGCGAAAGCUGGGGGAGCGAACGGGAUUAGAUAUGAAGUUGAGUUUUUGCCAGCUUCACUAGAUACCCCCGUAGUCC
rnacentral:rRNA from 1 species